UCAUCACGCGCCGCCUCCAGCUUCCCGCCAGCCGAACCCGGAGCUCCACCAAACGCCGCGGCGGCGGCCAGAGUGGUGGGGCCCUGGCGAGCCCUCGUCAACGGCCCGUUAUGGUUGUAGAUCGGAGUGUGAGCAACUAAAUUCUUCUCGCGAGUCAUGCGUUUCGACGGCGUGGAUGAAGCGUUAGUCGCUGAGAGCGCCGAGGCUUUCCCUUUGUGCGCUCCGGCUCGGCGCCGAGACGAAGCCGGCUCGGAUGCCGCUGACUCGGCUCCAGCUGCGGCCGAGCUCGUAGCCGCCGGUUGCGCUCCGGCUUCCCGGCGUUUCUCUUCCAUUAGAAUGAUUUGGUUCAGUUUCGAGUUUCGAAGCUCUUGGGUUCAGUCUAUGUUUUGCGU
rnacentral:lncRNA from 1 species